rnacentral:piRNA from 1 species
UAUAUCUCAAGGUGGGUGGCGCAUUUA